rnacentral:rRNA from 1 species
UCAGGAUGAACGCUAGCGAUAGGCCUAACACAUGCAAGUCGAGGGGCAUCACAUGAAGCAGCAAUGCGGAUGGUGGCGACCGGCGCACGGGUGAGUAACGCGUAUGCAAUCUACCUACAACAGGGGAAUAACCCGUUGAAAGACGGACUAAUGCCCCAUAAUACAGGGGUCCCGCAUGGGAAUAUUUGUUAAAGAUUUAUCGGUUGUAGAUGAGCAUGCGUUCCAUUAGCUGGUUGGUGAGGUAACGGCCCACCAAGGCAACGAUGGAUAGGGGAACUGAGAGGUUUAUCCCCCACACUGGUACUGAGACACGGACCAGACUCCUACGGGAGGCAGCAGUGAGGAAUAUUGCGCAAUGGGGAAACCCUGACGCAGCGACGCCCGCGUGAGCGAAGAAGGCCUUCGGGUUGUAAAGCUCUGUUGUAAGGGACGAAUGUCUAGGGUAGUAACUGACCUUAGAAUGACGGUACCUUACCAGCAAGCCCCGGCUAACUACGUGCCAGCCGCCGC